GACGCCGAUGUUCAUUAGAAAAGAAUCCCUAGGAAGGGCGAGGAGAUAGAAGAUACCUGGGAUCCAGAGAGGCUGCUUCUGGCAAAGCUGCUGUACCAGGAGAGCCAGUGGAGUGCAGUGGUUAGGAGCCCAGGCUCUGACGUCUGAUCGACUCAGGUUCAAGUCUCUGCUCUGACACUAACUCAGCCCUGCAUCUCAGGGAGAUAGACAGCCACAAACAACCUAACAAGAUUGCU